CACUGAACCAGACCGUCCAUGUGGUUACGUGUAUUGUAUACUCGGAAUCACAACUUUCCCCAUUUCUCCAUCUGACUCCAUGGUCGUUUCGUCUUCGAUUGACUAGGGUUCUCUGCGCGUCCAUCUAGGACUUCGCUCGCUUGCAGGAUUUCUCUUCGAUUGAUUUCGCUGUUCAUCCAAUACGACUGUCCAGAUUAGAGGUUGAGGCUAGGGUUCAAUAGCCUCUAGGUCAAUUUUUAGUUUGCGCCAUCGAUUUGAAGGGUAUAUUUCUCAACCUCGAAUCGCUCUUCGACUUUUCGUUUAUACUGCGAGAUUCGUUGAAAUUUUACGAGUCUUUUAUGGGUUGUACUUCGUUUUUUGUUCACUUCGCGAUUCUAUUCGCGAUCUGAAUUUUUUUUGGAUUUAGGGUUUCGACUCGUAUUUUUUCUGGCCGGUUUCUGGAUAUUCUUAUUGAAAAAAUUGGGGAUUUAGGGUUUUCUUUGGGAACCAUCGGGGUGGGGUUUGGUAUUUCGAUGGCAGCGGGGAGAAUGGGGGGUUAUCGCGACUAUGAUAUGAAGGACCGGGAUUCUAGUGUUGACGUUGUGAAUGGGAAAGAAGGAUAUGAACGGGCGCGGAGCGGUAACCCUGAAAACAAUAAGAGUCGAGGGCGGGAUGUUAGAGACAGAAUUAGGGUCAGGCAAAAGGACAUCAGAGAGAGGGAAGUGGGUAAUGGUAAUCUACGAUCUUCGAGUAGAAGUGACUCUGGCAGCAGCGGUGGUGGUAUUGUUUCUCACGGAGUGAAGCAAAAGGUUUUGCUUGUCAGGACAAUGGAUAGGGAGCCGGGCGAGUUAUCCAGUGAGAGUGGAUCCGAUGAUGCCACUGAGUCCGGAUUGCCAUUUAAAAUUAACGAGUCUGCAAAGGUGGUGGAGAAUGGGAUUCGUUCUCCACCAGAGAAGAAGAGGAAGUUCUCACCAAUAGUUUGGGACAGAGACGAAAAGGAAAAGACUGUUUCCACAAGAAAUAAGGUCGCCAAGGCUGUGGCAGCUUCACCUCUGCCGUCACCGAAGGAGAAGAGGGAAUCUCCUAAUGCAAUGUUGGAUACUCUUGAUGCCAUACCUGCUGAGGCUGGUAGGAUUAGUGAUCCUGAGUACUUGCUACCUUCCUCUCUUGUUGAACCUUCUGUUGGGGGCAAUGGAUCAGAUGAAUUCCCCGCAAGUGGUUCACCAAUGAUGCCUUCUUCUGAUUCACUUAGGAAACCAUGGCAGGCUGAUCCUGAAGCAGAAAAUUUUGGGGAUGAUGAUUAUGUUCCAACAAGAAACAUUUCAUCCUCGAGAUGGGCUGCUGGUAAUAACUCUCCUGGUGAUGAAGGUGAAAUUUUAGACGAAGAAAUGCCUAAAAGACGGAAGACAACACCAAUUUCUGAGUCAUUGGAAGGCAUCAGAGUACAAAGAAAAUCAUUAACUCCAGAGAUUGGGGAGAUAAUGAGACAAGGCUCUGAAGCAGGGACAAGAUCAUCUGAAUCGACAGAACGUGGUGAUCGGUCUCGAUCAUCAAGUGCGAAUCAUUACCUUGGUAAUGAUUCUGAGAAAGAUGAAGGCACGGAUCUUGGUGAUGAAAUUCGUAGAAUGGAUACUAGCAGUAGCCGGUUAGAUACUGAUUCUGAGGAUGAGACAGAAGCUCCCGAGGAAGCAGAGCCUAGUGUCCCUCCUCCCCAACGAAGUGUAAAUAUGCUUCAAGGCUGUAGAAGUGUUGAUGAAUUUGAAAGAUUGAACAAGAUUGACGAAGGAACUUAUGGUGUUGUAUAUAGAGCUAGAGACAAAAAGUCGGGGGAAAUAGUUGCAUUGAAGAAGGUGAAAAUGGAAAAGGAACGAGAAGGUUUUCCCAUGACUUCUUUGAGGGAAAUAAACAUUCUCCUGUCUUUUCAUCACCCUUCAAUUGUUGAUGUAAAAGAAGUGGUGGUGGGCAGUAGUCUUGAUAGCAUUUUUAUGGUAAUGGAGUACAUGGAGCAUGACCUAAAAGCACUCAUGGAGACAAUAAAACAGCCAUAUAGUCAAAGUGAAGUAAAAUGUCUGAUGCUUCAGUUACUGGAGGGUGUUAAAUACCUUCACGAUAAUUGGGUGCUUCACAGGGACUUAAAGACAUCAAAUUUACUUUUGAAUAAUCAGGGAGAAUUGAAGAUCUGCGAUUUUGGACUAGCUCGGCAAUAUGGGAGCCCCUUGAAAACAUAUACACAUAUGGUUGUUACUCUUUGGUACAGGGCACCUGAACUUCUAUUGGGAACAAAACAGUAUUCAACAGCUAUUGACAUGUGGUCGUUAGGUUGUAUUAUGGCUGAACUAUUAUCAAAGCAACCACUGUUUAAUGGAAAAACUGAAGUUGAUCAGCUUGACAAGAUAUUUCGAACCCUAGGCACACCCAAUGAAGCUAUUUGGCCUGGGUUUUCCAAACUUCCAGGAGUAAGGGUCAACUUUGUUAAGCACCAGCUUCCAGCUUUGGGUGAUUCUGGUACAACUUAUUGCGUAAGAAAUUCCCGGCGACAUCAUUUACCGGUUCGCCAGUUCUUUCUGAUUCAGGAUUUGAUUUGUUGAACAAACUUCUAACUUACGAUCCUGAGAAGAGAAUUACAGCUGAGGCCGCUCUUAAUCAUGAAUGGUUCUCAGAAGUUCCUCUUCCAAAGUCAAAAGAGUUCAUGCCUACUUUUCCUGCUCAACAUGCUCAGGACAGGCGUUUGCGGAGAGUGAUGAAGAGUCCAGACCCCUUAGAAGAACAACGCAGAAAGGAGUUGCAGCAAGGGGAAUUGGGAACAUCUGGUUUGUUUGGCUAAGAGAAUGGAUCUGGUAAUUUGGCUCAGGCUGCCUGAAUUUAUUUUUCUGAUCACUCUUGACCAUUGGACCUGAUUAAGGUUAGGGAAGAGGGCUGUGAAUUGUGUUUGACAGAUGAUUGCCAGUGCUAUUUUAGCAGGGCAUUCACGGUUAUUUGGUUCAAGAUAUGUAUUUUUUUUUUUUUUUUCCUUCUGUCAAGAAGAUCAAUUGCAGCUUAACGUCAAUUCUUCUCCUCUGGUCAUCAUAUAGAAAAUGCUUCAUUGACACGGCUUGCAUGGCAAGGUGUGGAACAUUGUUGUUUUCUUGAAAAAAUCAGAUUCAGCAGAAACUAAUUGUGUAACAUAUUCCUAUUGAAAAUUAGGCUGUUGGCCAUAAAUUUUAUUUGCAAUAUUAAAUUUCCUUGGAUUUUUACUGCCUACAUAGUUCAAAUUUAUCUCCUUUUAAUAUUUGAAUUGUGUUUGCAAGAGAUGGUUGGUGGGAAGGGGAGGGCGGUCUUUGCUUCUCGUUGGUGAAGAAUUUGACCGUUACGAUAGUUUUUCAAAGGUAAUUAAUUAAUUGCAAAAGCCUUACAAGGAUGAGGAUUAUGUUUUGAAGCUUUCUUUAUCAGUAUCUUGUUGUGUGCAUGUUUUUGGAAAAUUCAUCUUGUAGUGUUGGUCAUUUCAACUACAGUGCUUAGGCUAAAUUGUUCGAUCAACCAAGUAGGCCUUUCUUUUUAAGCCUGGUUUAUUUUGUUCUCCCCCCAUUGGUUUAUUUUAUCUGGGUUCUAUAGCUAGGACUGUUGAUAGUUUUAGAAGAAAUCCCUGAAUGACUCCAACUUUUUUUUAUGGAGAUGUUCUUACAAAAUAUAAUUAGUGCUUGGUUAUUGGUGAUUUAAGUGACGAUUCCUCUGGGUAUGUUAAAGUUCUAAUUAUUGGUGGUGCCAAUGGAGGAAAAUUUCAAUGCUAAAAGAAAGCCAUUGAAGAUCAUGUAUCAAUCUAUCUGUGGCACCAAGCUACCCAUCAUCUUCUAGCCACCAAAUUAUUGAUCUAAAGCUACCAAUCGUUAUCAUUGAAAUUCUUAACAGUUUGCUUUUUGAAAAGAAAAAAAAAAUGGCUCCCCUGGAUGGAUAAACAGAGAAAUUUUAUUCGGCCAAAAGCCUGUAUGCUCUGAGAUGUUUCAUCUGUUAGUGCAGGGACAAGAUGGUAUGUUAUAUAAUCUUUACUACUAGUCAAGAAAUAGAUUUUUGUAUAUGAUCUGCAUGGGAGUUGCUGUUGCAUACUGCCUCUUGAUGUAAGUAAUUAUUUGGUUGUGGCCACAUGGAUACAACAAGCUUCAAGUUGUUUUUUGGGUGUUGAAAGAUUAGUAUGCAUUAGCUUGUUGAGAAGUAUCACCAUUCUUCAAAGAAAUGUGUAAAAUGGAUUGACUGUUGUCACUUGUUAUUCUCUUUUAAUCAGUGUAGAAGAUUCCAUCUUUUGUCAGUCCCCGUGAUUUUUCUGCAAAUGUCACUGCAGUAUCAAAGCUAGCAGCAGGUUCAGGUUGAGGAGCUUACCUGCAUUGCUCUUGAAGUUAGUAACUUAGUUGUUUAUUCGCACACUUGAGGUACUAAAUGCAAAGUUUGUUUUUGUUUGCAUGUUUUUCAAGUUCCUAAAUAUUUUCUCGACAGUUCUCUUCUUUGAAGUGCUGUUUGGAAGAGGUUAUUUGGAUCUGUAAUACUGAAAAGUAUGGCUAACCAGACUAUUAAGCUUA